AUGAACAACAUUCUUGUGACCAGUAUGACGACUGGGGUUGACUCAGAGACUACAGUGAAAACAAAACUCUCCUCUACAUCUCCCUCCACCACAUCCCACCUUGAGCACCAAAGUCUGGACCCUGACUGGAGCCAGACCACUCCUACAAAUGCUUCUUCAACUAAACCUUUUGAUCCAGGUUCAUUGGGUACAUCUGCCACCUCACCUCCUAUAGGGGACAGUCCAAACUCAACAGCUUCUAUGCCCACUGAGACAUCAGAGUCUAUAUUAGAUGACUCUAUGAGGACUGACCCUCACACGUCCAAGGCUCCAGGCUUUGGAAUGGGUUCAUCUUCUACUCUGGCCCCAGGAGGGUGGGAGAAUUCAUCUUUGGGCACCAUAUCAAGCAGAGUGGUUACCAGCAGCAUUUCCCCUGUCCCAUCUACUCCUCCCUCCAUGGGCUCUAGGACAGAUGUCACAACAUCUGGCAGGGUGACAAACACAGAUUUGCCUUGGUCUACUCCCUUAACUAUGACCUCCAGGAGGGCAAGUACCAGCCCCGCUGUCUCAAUUCCCUUUGGGCCACAUCCAACGAAAACUGUGGCAGAGGGUGUACCCAGUCCCAAAGUCACACCAAUCCCUCCUUUGUCAAGUACUUUGGUUUCUGUUAGCACAGAUAUGCAGGUGGAGAGGAAUGUAGCUACCUUGGCAGAUGGCUCUCCUUCCCAGGGAAGAAGCUCUCCUUCUCUGAAUCCUACCACAUCGUCUUCUCCUGGAAUCUCUACUAGAGUAGACACCCACAAAACUGCCCAUUCGUCUUUGGGUCAAAGCUCGUCCAUAUCUCCCACUUUCAAUGCUCCUGCGUCCUGGACAAGCACCGUGUCCCCCGAUGCCUUUCCAUCUCAGGAGACCAUGGGGAUGGUCAGCAUCAUUACAGCAUCAGAAACAGACAUGACAGAAUCCUCCCCACAAGCUAUCGCCUCCUCUGUGGCUGACAACCACUCCACAUCAGCAUCUCUCCUGCAAGAAACCAUCGUGACAGUGGACAGCACCCUAAGGAAAGGGCCAGUUUCUGAUUCCACUCCUUCCAACUCUCUCCCUUUGACAAGCAGUGAAAGUGACACGGUGCCGCUCUUGAGAAGCAAUACUCAGACAGCUGCAAUAAGUGGUCUUCAAGAGAUAGUGUCUACUGGCAUUCCCACAGGUAAGCAGAAGCUUCCCUUUUGGAGGCAACAAUUUAUUGCAGUGAAUAGAUCACUGGGCCUAGAGUAAGGAAGACCUGAGUUCAAAUCUGAUCUCAGAUUCUUACUAGCUAUGGGACCUUGGGCAAGGUGCUUCACCCCUGCUUGCCUCAUUUUCCCCAUCUGUGAAAUGGGGACAAUAAUAACACCCACCUCCCAGGGUUGUUGUAAGGAUCAAAUGAGAAAAAUAAUUACAAAGCACUUAACGCAGCACCUGGCACAUGGUAGAUGCUUAAUAAAUGUUUGUUUUCCUCAUGGGAGAUUGAGUUU
rnacentral:lncRNA from 1 species